CGGAGGGUGCAAGCGUUAUCCGGAUUUACUGGGUUUAAAGGGUGUGUAGGCGGGCUAUUAAGUCAGCGGUGAAAUCUCCGGGCUCAACCCGGAAACUGCCAUUGAUACUAUUAGUCUUGAAUGUUGUUGAGGUGGGCGGAACGGGUCAUGUAGCGGUGAAAUGCAUAGAUAUGACCCGGAACACCGAUUGCGAAGGCAGCCCACUAAGCAAUGAUUGACGCUGAGGCACGAAAGCGUGGGGAUCAAACAGGAUUAGAUACCCUGGUAGUCCACGCCCUAAACGAUGAUUACUCGACGUUGGCGAUACACUGAUCAGCGUCCAAGCGAAAGCAUUAAGUAAUCCACCUGGGAAGUACGUUCGCAAGAAUG
rnacentral:rRNA from 1 species